rnacentral:rRNA from 1 species
GACGAACGCUGGCGGCGUGCUUAACACAUGCAAGUCGAACGGAAAGGCCCUGCUUUUGUGGGGUGCUCGAGUGGCGAACGGGUGAGUAACACGUGAGUAACCUGCCCUUGACUUUGGGAUAACUUCAGGAAACUGGGGCUAAUACCGGAUAGGAGCUCCUGCUGCAUGGUGGGGGUUGGAAAGUUUCGGCGGUUGGGGAUGGACUCGCGGCUUAUCAGCUUGUUGGUGGGGUAGUGGCUUACCAAGGCUUUGACGGGUAGCCGGCCUGAGAGGGUGACCGGCCACAUUGGGACUGAGAUACGGCCCAGACUCCUACGGGAGGCAGCAGUGGGGAAUAUUGUACAAUGGGCGGAAGCCUGAUGCAGAAACGCCGCGUGCGGGAUGACGGCCUUCGGGUUGUAAACCGCUUUCGCCUGUGACGAAGCGUGAGUGACGGUAAUGGGUAAAGAAGCACCGGCUAACUACGUG